rnacentral:rRNA from 1 species
UACGAAGGGUGCAAACGUUGCUCGGAAUUACUGGGCGUAAAGCGCGCGUAGGCGGCUUUGCAAGUCGGGUGUGAAAUCCCCAGGCUUAACCUGGGAACUGCAUUCGAGACUGCAUUGCUAGAGUAUGGGAGAGGGAAGUGGAAUUUCCGGUGUAGCGGUGAAAUGCGUAGAUAUCGGGAAGGAACAUCAGUGGCGAAAGCGACUUCCUGGACCAAUACUGACGCUCAUGUGCGAAAGCGUGGGGAGCAAACAGG